ACGCUCGACACCUACGGAGGCAGCAGUAGGGAAUCUUCCACAAUGGACGCAAGUCUGAUGGAGCAACGCCGCGUGAGUGAAGAAGGUCUUCGGAUCGUAAAACUCUGUUGUUAGAGAAGAACACGAGUGAGAGUAACUGUUCAUUCGAUGACGGUAUCUAACCAGCAAGUCACGGCUAACUACGUGCCCAGUAGCCGCGGUAAUCUGAGCGGGCUGGCAAGGC
rnacentral:rRNA from 1 species